UACGUAGGAGGCAAGCGUUGUCCGGAAUUACUGGGCGUAAAGCGCGUGUAGGUGGUGGGACAAGUCUGCCUGUGAAAGCGCCUGGCUUAACCGGCGAGGUCGGCGGAACUGUCCGACUCGAGGACGGUAGAGGGUGGAAUUCCGGUGUAGUGGUGAAUGCGUAGAGAUCGGAGGAACACCUGUGGCGAAGGCGGCCCUGGCGGCCUGACACUGAGACG
rnacentral:rRNA from 1 species